AGCACAUUACGGGUUAAUAGUUGGGUCGGGUAAAAAAUAGGUUGACCCGCCUACUUUUAUUCUUUUCCCCUAAUUCGCACUUUAAAUCCGACUCAAACCCUCAGUUCUCCAAAUGCUCUUCCUCCCAAGAACCCUCAAACCCUCCGUUCUCCAAAAAUUCUUCUUUCUCGGGGCUCCGGACAAAGUCUUCACCAGCAAUUAUCAAGUAUUUUCUCGGAUUGUGAUGACUGCUGAAGUACAGAAGUAUUUUGAUAUACGUAGUUGUAAUGAAAAUGUUAAUGAAUGAAUCAAGGACUAUCAGUUCCUCCUAUAUGUAUUUUCUUGAAUUUCUAUGUCUAUUCUUAGUUUAUUUUCUUUCAGCUUAUAUGGUUAUUAUGGGAUUUGUUGAAUGAACAAUGGUUUAGGAAGAAUUUCAUAGGUAUUAGGAUCUAAACUAGUUUAGUUUCAUAAACUGGUCACUUGGUUGGAUCAGUAGUUGAUUUUUGUAUUUUUCUUUCAUAUUUAAGGUUGUUAAUUUAGAUAUCAUGUUAACAUUGGCUAUUGAAACUUCAUGGUUUAGUCAUUUAAUUUUAGCAAUGUUAGCUGGUUGUUAAAACUG